UACGGAGGGUGCGAGCGUUGUCCGGAAUCAUUGGGCGUAAAGGGCGCGUAGGUGGCGGGACAAGCGUGCGGUGAAAGCUCGGGGCUCAACCCCGAGUCGGCCGUGCGAACUGUUUUGCCGGAGCACUGUAGAGGCAGGCGGAAUUCCGGGUGUAGCGGUGGAAUGCGUAGAGAUCCGGAAGAACACCGGUGGCGAAGGCGGCCUGCUGGGCAGUUGCUGACACUGAGGCGCGACAGCGUGGGGAGCAAACAGG
rnacentral:rRNA from 1 species